AGCGCUCACCAUUCUGCAGAAUAAGGACCAGAACUUUACAGAGGUAAUCUGUGUCUGUUCUUUUUACUAUUACAGGUAACCUGCUGUUCCUGGCUGUGGUCAGCCAUUUUGGGGUGAAGCUGCACCGGCCCAGGCUGAUUGCUAUGGGCUGUUUCCUAACGGCUGUAGGAUCCUUCCUCACAGGCCUGCCACACUUCUUCAUGGGACGAGAAGGGAUUAAGAGAUGCAGAGAAGAGACCAGAAGAUGAAGCAGUGGUUCCAACCAGUGUCCACCCCUCAAGGGCCCACUUAACUGCCAAGAGCUCCCGGUUGCCUACAUCGUAGUUCCCUUCCGCUGGCGAGAACCGCUUGGAGAGUGUUGGGGAAUAAUCAGAAUUGGUUGGUAACAUAGAGGAAAUUUCCACGACAAGAGAAAGGCGCAUGGGUGCAGUUCCUUGUCCUCAUUCCCAUGUGAAAGGACCGCACCAGAUCCGGUGUCCGAGGCGUCCACCUCUACCACAAAGGCACGAGUAUGAUCAGGAUGAACGAGGAUGGGUCCGAAGGUGAAACGUCCCUUAAGCUCUAUGAAUGCCCUGUCAGCCUCGGGAUUCCUGCAAAAACCUGCUUGAGUGAGGUGGGAUAGGGCCGUAUGUGUUCCGGAAGGGUUUUUGGAGAAGAUCAGGAUGUCGUCGAGAUUUUAAGCGUUGCGGAGGUCCAGUUUGGUGAAGAAUUGGGCUCCUAGGGCCAACUCCAAGGCAGCGGACAUCGGGUGAGUUGAACCUGCCUGUGGGUGCGGUGGGGAUAUUCCUGGGAGGUCUACUGAUGAAGAGGUAUAAGCUUGGCGUUGUGUCUGGAGCCCAGUUGUCUUUCGUCACCCCCUUCAUGGCCUACCUCCUCCUCCUUCCGCUGUCUGGCACUAAGUGUGACAACGUUUAGGUGGCUGGUCUGACCGUGUCCUACAACGGGUCCACUGGUGUACGAUGGCAGCCUGUUGUCAGAGUGUAACAGAGACUGCUCCUGCUUGGCUGGGGAGUGGGACCCUGUGUGUUCAGACAACGGCAUCACCUACACCUCCCCCUGCCUUGCAGGCUGCUCCAGCCUUACAGGUUACUGCAAGAACACGGUACCAACACUAUUAAUGUACUGAGUGUACAACACAUUCACAGGAAUGCUGGCCCAUGUUGACUCCAAUGCUUUCCACAGUUGUGUCAAGUUGGCCGUAUGUCUUUUGAGUGGUGGACCAUUCGUGAUACACACAGGAAACUGUUGAGCGUAAAAAAAACAGCAGAGUUGCAGUUCUUGACACAAACUGGUACCCCUGGCAUGCCCCGUUGAAAGGCACGUAAAUAUUUUGUCUUGCCCAUUCACCCUCUGAAUGGCAUACAUACACAAUCCAUGUCUCAAUUGUCUCAAGGCUUACAAUUUUGUUUUAAACCUUUCUCCUCCUCUUUAUCUACACUGAUUUAAGUGGAUUUCACUAGUGACAUCCAUAAGGGAUUAUAGCUUUAAGCUGGAAUCACCUGGUCAGCAUAUGUCAUGGAAAGAGCAGGUGUUCUUAAUAUUUUAUCCACUCAGUGUAACUCAUUGACACUGAAAUAAGUUAUUUUCAACCAUUAACUGGGGCCUUGUUGAUGCCUUAUUUAGGGAAGUAAUUGCUGAUUGACAAUAAAGCAUUAUUUUGAUGUAUGGGAAAAAAUAUGGUAUCCGAUUCCUAUGUAGAGAAGGUUCUCUCUGGUUGUUCAAUAUGACUUCAACUUUUACAGGGCACUUUUUAAAAAUAUUUUUUUAUUUUGUUUAUUUUUUAUUAACAAAUAUCAUCAAACAAAAGAGGAAUAGUCACAUGCAACCAAGCAUACAAACAAUAUAUUUACAUUGCCAGGAAUCCUAAACAAACAAAUCAUAUUCGUUAAUAAUACAACAAGUUUUAAUUGCCUUUUUGUUUUUCGUUUUAGUUAAAGUGGUGCCAUAUUGUUUAAACUCAUUUAUAAAGUGAAAACAGUUAGGUUUUGAAUAUGAAACUUACCUAUUGUUAUUAGC
ensembl:lncRNA